UUAGUACUCCUUCCGUUCGGAAUUACUUGUCCAAAAAAUGAAUGUAUCUAGAUGUAUUUUAAUUAUAGAUACAUCCAUUUUCAUCCAUUUUUUGUGACAGGUAAUUCCGAACGAAGGGAAUACCUA
rfam:Triticum aestivum genome assembly, contig: Triticum_aestivum_CS42_TGACv1_scaffold_049813_1BS